UUUUUUCAGACUUUGGACAAGUGGUUCCAUCUCCAGAGCUUCAAUUUGGUGAUAGAGGAGUCCACAGCUGUGAACCACUAUAAGACUUGAAGAGUAUGAAACAGGAGAGGCACCAGUGGUAGAAGUCAGGCAGCUGCCCUGGGUGGCUUGGCUCUCUGUGCUGCAGCAAAGGGCACAAUAAUCAUCCUCCUCCUGACAGCUGUUCAGCAUGCAUCACUGAAGAUAUAAACAAAGCAGAAAGGAUGUACAGCAGGCCUAAGUGGAAUAUUCAAUCAAAACAAGAGAUGUUCUUUGAUGAUGUCUUGUGCUAGUUCAUUUAACACCUGAAGGUGAUCUGUUGUAGGAUAUCCUGAUUAAUAGUAUUUCUGUUCCUUUGGAAAUCUGGAGCUCAGCA
rnacentral:lncRNA from 1 species